AUACUCCUCCACACCAUCAACACCACCCCCUUCGCCUUUUCCAAAGUUUGUGUGACCUCUCUCGCCUUUUAACUGCUUUUCCUGUUCUUGUUCUUCUUCUUGCUCUUCUUCUCUCAGCGCCCCCUCCCUCCCCACAAAUCGCCAUGGACGACCCCUUCAUCCGCGGCUACGACCCCUCCGAGCUCGAGAUCGCGGCCGAGUUCCUCACCACGUGGCUCCCCUUCCUCUCCAGCGGCCUCUGCGACCCCUGCGCCACCGCACUCCGCCGCCGCAUCCUCUCCCUCCGCCCAGGUUCCUCCGCUGGCGCCGAGCCCUCUGAUCGGAUCGCGCCCACGGGGUGGGAUUCCGAGUCUCCGAAGGCCCGGAUGUCGUGGGCCGACAUGGCGCAGGAGGACGAGCUCGAGGAGGAGGAGGCGGAGGCGGAAGGAGAGGAGACGGGGAAGGGGAAGAAGAAGCCGGAGCUGUCGAGGGAGCAGAGGGAGCAGAUACGGUUCAAGAAUGUCGGGAGGAAGAAGGACUUUGUGUGCCUGGAGAGGGUCAACGGACGGCUUGUGAACAUCCUCGCCGGCCUCGAGCUCCACACCGGAGUUUUCAGUGCCGUGGAGCAGAAGAGGAUUGUCGAUUUCAUGUAUGAGCUCCAGGAGAAGGGGCGGAACGGCCAGCUUGGAGAGCGCACAUACUCAGAACCGGAUAAAUGGAUGCGAGGCAAAGGACGAGUGACCAUCCAGUUUGGAUGCUGUUAUAAUUAUGCUAAGGAUAAGGAAGGAAACCUACCAGGCAUCCUUCGGCAUGUUGUAGCUGAUCCGAUACCUGAUCUUUUCAAAGUGAUAAUAAGGAGGUUGAUCCGGUGGCAUGUGCUGCCCCCUGCAUGUAUACCUGAUAGUUGUAUUGUCAACAUCUACGAGCCAGGAGAUUGCAUACCGCCUCAUAUUGACAGCCAUGAUUUCGUUCGGCCUUUUUGUACUGUUUCGUUUCUUAGCGAGUGCAAUAUACUCUUUGGAUCCAAUCUAAAGAUUGCAGGGCCUGGCGAGUUUACUGGUUCAUCUGCAAUUCCGUUACCUGUUGGGUCUGUGUUGGUCAUGAAUGGCAAUGGAGCUGAUUUAGCAAAGCAUUGUGUGCCAGCAGUCCCAACCAAAAGGAUAUCUAUUACCUUCAGAAAGAUGGAUGAAACAAAGCGUCCUAUUGAGUUCAUACCCGAACCAGAUUUGCAGAACAUUGUUCCACUUCCUUAUGAUUCAGGUGUGAAUGAAUCACCACUGCAUGGUGACAAGGGCACAACAUCUGCAGUUCAGGACAAACGCGAAGGUAAAAAUUACAAAGCGAGGAGAUCCAGAGGGAGGAGUGGUCCGAGACGUGACCAGAGGUUUCAGGAACGCCAACCAGUUCUACAUGAUCAAAUCGCUCCAACAGAGAAAUCGCCUCUCCCAAGAAUGGAUGGCCAACACGCUAUGACUGGUGAUACUGCAGAGAGAGGAAGAGACCUAGCUGAGAAUUCAAUAGAAUCUGAGUCUAAAUCAGAUUCGCAAGGCACCCAAUUGCAUCGUUGUGACGGAGAUGAGCACAUAAAAUGGUCAACACAGGGAAGGCGGUUUGAAGAAGGGACAGGUAGCGUGGAAGAUAAUAGGCAAUAUGCUGAUAGGAGAGUGCGGAUCGACCAGAGGAAUAUUAUUGUUAGCCGCAACUUCAACCAGGGAGAGCAAGCAGAGAAUCGCACUUCUGAACCAACCGGCAUUUCUGGCAUUCAUGUUUGAACCCUCUACAACCCCCGUAGAAGGGGCAGAGUAUGACGCUAGCGUGACGACCUGCAAGAUUUGCCAUCAUUUUCUUCUGGUGAUUGAGACAGUUGAUUGGUCAAGAGAGAUCUCCAUGUAAAGCAAGGGAAGCUUGUGAGAAGCGAAUGCAAAAUCAUCAUUUGUCUGAGAGAAUUGUAACCUCGCGCUGUUUAGCAUGCUUUGUGCUACCUGCUGCUGUUAAUAAUGACUCCUCUUACUUCAAUCCUUGAUGAUUAUAAUAUGAAAAUGCUUUAGCAAAAUUGUACUGUAAUUAUCGGUCUCUCCAUUGUUAAUUUUGUCUUAGUCUUUGCUUUUUUUUUUUUUUUUUUUUUUUUUUUUUUUUUUUUUUUUUUUUUUUUUUUCCCUCUACUGUUGGUUUGGUGGUUAAAAAGUUCGUGAUAUCAAACUGGUGGUGAUGUUAGGUCUUUUAGUUAUUGUGACAAUAAUUAGGUAAAUAUGUACAUGGAACCCCCUCUAUUAUUGGCAACUUUGGAAAAGACAUUUAACUCUUUUGCUCUGGAUGGGCUGUACCUCAACUCUUUGUUUAGGGGCUGUUUGUUUGUAAGAUUUUGAGAAUGUUGUAUAUUUUAUAGGGAAAACUUUGAGGACCACCCAUGUGAUUUUGCACUUUCUCA